rnacentral:rRNA from 1 species
GACGAACGCUGGCGGCGUGCUUAACACAUGCAAGUCGUACGGUAAGGCCCUUUCGGGGGUACACGAGUGGCGAACGGGUGAGUAACACGUGAGUAACCUGCCCACAACUUUGGGAUAACGCUAGGAAACUGGUGCUAAUACUGGAUAUGUGCUCCUGCUGCAUGGUGGGGGUUGGAAAGCUCCGGCGGUUGUGGAUGGACUCGCGGUCUAUCAGCUUGUUGGUGGGGUAGUGGCCUACCAAGGCGGCGACGGGUAGCCGGCCUGAGAGGGUGACCGGCCACAUUGGGACUGAGAUACGGCCCAGACUCCUACGGGAGGCAGCAGUGGGGAAUAUUGCACAAUGGGCGCAAGCCUGAUGCAGCAACGCCGCGUGCGGGAUGACGGCCUUCGGGUUGUAAACCGCUUUCAGCAGGGACGAAGCUUUUUGUGACGGUACCUGCAGAAGAAGCACCGGCUAACUACGU